AAUCAACGCUGGCGGCGUGCCUCAGACAUGCAAGUCGAACGAGAAAGUUCCCUUCGGGGAAUGAGUAAAGUGGCGCACGGGUGAGUAACACGUAGGUAAUCUACCUUCGGGUGGGGAAUAACCCAGGGAAACUUGGGCUAACACCGCAUAAUGCAGCGGCACCACAUGGUGACAGUUGUUAAAGCGGGGGAUUUUAGGACCUCGCGCCUGAAGAGGAGCCUGCGGCGGAUUAGCNGUUGGUAAGGUAACGGCUUACCAAGGCGACGAUCCGUAGCCGGCCUGAGAGGGCGGUCGGCCACACUGACACUGACAUACGGGUCAGACUCCUACGGGAGGCAGCAGUCGGGAAUUUUGGGCAAUGGGCGAAAGCCUGGCCCAGCAACGCCGCGUGAAGGAUGAAAUCCCUCGGGAU
rnacentral:rRNA from 1 species